AUACGUAGGUGGCAAGCGUUGUCCGGAAUUAUUGGGCGUAAAGGGCGCGUAGGCGGCCUGUUAAGUCUGGAGUGAAAGUCCUGCUUUCAAGGUGGGAAGUGCUUUGGAAACUGGCGGGCUGGAGUGCAGGAGAGGUUAGCGGAAUUCCCGGUGUAGCGGUGAAAUGCGUAGAGAUCGGGAGGAACACCAGUGGCGAAGGCGGCUAACUGGACUGUAACUGACGCUGAGGCGCGAAAGUGUGGGGAGCAAACAGGAUUAGAUACCCUGGUAGUCCACACUGUAAACGAUGAAUGCUAGGUGUAGGGGGUAUCGACCCCUUCUGUGCCGGAGUAAACACAAUAAGCAUUCCGCCUGGGGAGUACGGCCGCAAGGUUGAA
rnacentral:rRNA from 1 species